ensembl:lncRNA
AUGCAGAAAACGUAUAUAUGUUUAUAUACCGACCGCAUAAUAUAUAAAUACAUAUACGCGUGCCCAAGCGCCUGGUUUUCGUCUCUCCUCCCUACGAAGCGGAAUGUUUUGGAGCCGAUGGAUAACAAGAACACGAUUAACAUUCUUUUGAGCUUGUUUUUUAAAAGGGGGAGGGAGCGUGAAGAAUUGUUUAACAUUCGGCCAUCGUUUGGCUGCACACUAAACACCACGAAGUAUUUAUGGUUGCAGAUCAGGUGCAAACGGGGCUUAGAGAGAAAGACCUGUGAAGCUUGAGGCCACUCAAGUUCCAAAUUUGUGACAAAUCCCCCAGGGCUCACUGGAGUGGCAGUAAGUUCUCGCAGUUUGAUUUCUUUUCAAUCAUUGAAGUGUUAGAAAAGUAGCAACAAAAGCUCCGAUGGAAAAACAGCAGUUGUGUUUCCUGACCAUCCACCAUAGUCAUGACUUACCUCUUUUGUUCCGAUGAUUUUUCUGUUGAACAAUUUUAAUACUUUUAUCCACACAAUAUGCAGUAUAAUUUUGACAGGCUGGUAUAAUCCUUUAACCAUGCUUUGAGUGUGGCUACUGUUUCUCACACUUUUUCUCCUUCUACGCCCAUAACCUGCCAUAGAAAAAUUGGUUUUAUUUUUGAAAAUUUCUUUACCCUUUUCAGCUAUUAUUUUCACUUUAAAUAUAUAAUGUUUUUAUGUUAUAAAGUUUGAUUCUUUGAUGGUAUAUACAUACACACAUAUGAAAAUAUUACAUUCAUGGAAGCAUUAUUUUGUGAUAUUUAUAAUCAGUUCAAUAAAGUCAUUUUUAGAAAAAAACAUGUAGUAGGUUGGGUGCGGUGGCACACGCCUGUAAUCCCAGCACUUUGGAAAGCUGAGGUGGGGGCAUAUCACAAGGUUGGGAGAUCAAGACCAUCCUAGCCAACAUAGUGAAACCUUAUCUUUACUAAAAAUACAAAAUUAGCCAAGUGUGGCAGUGUACGCCUAUAGUUGCAGCUACUCAGGGGGCUGAGGCAGGAGAAUUGCUUGAACCUAGGAGGCAGAGGUUGCAGUGAGCUGAGAUUGUGCCACUGCACUCCAGCCUGGGUGACAGAGCAAGACUCCAUCUCAAAAAAAAGCAAGCAAGAAAGAAAAAAAUGUAGUAAAAGUCCGUACCAUGCGUUUAGUCAACAAGGAAGGCUGACAUCAGUUUUAAUGAGAGAAUAUUAUAAAGAAGAAAUAAUGACUUUUGGGUCAGAAAGAACCACUGAUACCAAACUGAGGCUCUGUUCUUUGUAACUAAAUCCCAAACCAAACUGAUUAACCGACAACCGCAAGAACAGAAUCAAACAACACAUGAUGCAUGUUAUUAGAGCGUGUCUAUAACUCCAUUUUUAAAUGAACUUAUCAAACACCGAGUGAACUCAGCACUUGUUGAAGAAGAGACAGAAAUGAUUAUUUAACCUUUGCUAAGAAAUUAAGAAAUCAGUUUUAAAUGACCAGCGUUAAAAGCAAAACAAUGUUUCAUUGUCACCAUCCAAAUAUACUAAGAAGGAAACAUCUAGAAUAUAUUUCCCAAUAUUAAAAUUAUUUCAGAAGACUGCUGUACCUCACACAAUUUUGUUUAUUCUGGUUAGUGACUUCCAUUCUUUGGCAAAUAAUACAUGGCACACACAUGAGUUCUGGAACAUGUUUUAGUAACUCUGAAUUUCCUACCACUCAUGACCCAUCUCUUAUGAUUUGAGGACAUUACAUUAGGGAAGUCAAACAGGGAAGACUCUAUAUUUGUGACCAAGAGCAUUAAUUUUAGGCAUGGUUUAACUAUGUAUCCCAUUAUUCCAUAACAUAUCUACAGGUUAUUAUCUGUAACUCAACCCACCCAGAUCCAUGUUCUGCUCUUCUCUGUCUUGUUCUAUGCCUUGAGAAGCUAACCUUGACUUCUAUAAGCUACAUCCACCCAGGCCCCCUUGAUAGUUGGCUUCUUUUAAAAAUCCAACAAAUGCAAGACAAUGGUAGGAGAACAGAGUGUAAGAGAGAAAGUUUGGGUUAUACCCCCAUCCCCGCCAUUCUUUCCUGCUCUAAGCCAUGAUUUCUAGCAGUGACUACAUCUUUUUAUCACUGUGACCCUGGUUGGGUGGCUCUUUUCUAUGUCUCUAGCUCUAAUUGUACUCCAGUAACACUAUUUUUCUCUUGUCCUUAGACCAGUCGUAACUUCUUUCUGUUGCCAUUCCCUGGGUGCUGCAAUGUUCCUUUUUAUUUUUCUUCACGCUGUCCAGAUCUAAAGUUAUCCUUAUUAAAACUUCUCGAAGUAGAUUCUGAUUCCUGCAUGACUGACUCAGACAUUAGCAAUAAGAAGCACUACAUAAAAUACUUGACUGUCAAGAUUCCAUUUUUGGAUAUAGAAAUAAGAUGAGAAACCUGAGGAAAAUUCCCAAGUCAUGAUCUGUUUAGAAAGUACCUAUACUUGGAAUAAUUUGACUGUUGCUUCCUCCUGCUCUUUAUCCCCUGGUUUCUUAAUUAUCACAGGUAGAUUUUCAGCUGUUGGUAUUAUCCAUCACCCCCAACACUACAUGUGUCUAUUGUGACCAUAACUACUGCUUUCUGAGAGGACUCGGUCGUCUACUGUAAAGACCUAAUUACGCACUGUGACCAGAAGCCCUUUAAGACUGAAUGAAGAAAGAUGAGGCUUUUUCAGCUACAAUAUUAAAAGACAGUUGCAGCUGCAAUAAAACAUGCAUUGGAAUUUAUCCAGCACUCCUGUGUGCAGCCCCUUGCU